AUUGAACGCUGGCGGCAGGCUUAACACAUGCGAGUCGAGCGGAGAGAGGUAGCUUGCUACCGAUCUUAGCGGCGGACGGGUGAGUAAUGCUUAGGAAUCUGCCUAUUAGUGGGGGACAACAUUUCGAAAGGAAUGCUAAUACCGCAUACGUCCUACGGGAGAAAGCAGGGGAUCUUCGGACCUUGCGCUAAUAGAUGAGCCUAAGUCGGAUUAGCUAGUUGGUGGGGUAAAGGCCUACCAAGGCGACGAUCCGUAGCGGGUCUGAGAGGAUGAUCCGCCACACUGGGACUGAGACACGGCCCAGACUCCUACGGGAGGCAGCAGUGGGGAAUAUUGGACAAUGGGCGCAAGCCUGAUCCAGCCAUGCCGCGUGUGUGAAGAAGGCCUUAUGGUUGUAAAGCACUUUAAGCGAGGAGGAGGCUACUUUAGUUAAUACCUAGAGAUAGUGGGCGUUACUCGCAGAGUAAGCACCGGCUAACUCUGUGCCAGCAGCCGCCGUAACAC
rnacentral:rRNA from 1 species